UUGGGUGGGAUCCGCAGGAUCC
rnacentral:misc_RNA from 1 species